AGUGAACGCUGGCGGUAGGCCUAACACAUGCAAGUCGAACGGCAGCACAGGAGAGCUUGCUCUCUGGGUGGCGAGUGGCGGACGGGUGAGGAAUACAUCGGAAUCUACUUUUUCGUGGGGGAUAACGUAGGGAAACUUACGCUAAUACCGCAUACGACCUACGGGUGAAAGCAGGGGACCUUCGGGCCUUGCCCGAUUGAAUGAGCCGAUGUCGGAUUAGCUAGUUGGCGGGGUAAAGGCCCACCAAGGCGACGAUCCGUAGCUGGUCUGAGAGGAUGAUCAGCCACACUGGAACUGAGACACGGUCCAGACUCCUACGGGAGGCAGCAGUGGGGAAUAUUGGACAAUGGGCGCAAGCCUGAUCCAGCCAUACCGCGUGGGUGAAGAAGGCCUUCGGGUUGUAAAGCCCUUUUGUUGGGAAAGAAGUCCAGCUGGCUAAUACCCGGUUGGGAUGACGGUACCCAAAGAAUAAGCACCGGCUAACUUCGUGCCAGCCGCCGCGGUAA
rnacentral:rRNA from 1 species